CUGUAGCUCAGUGGUAGAGCUUCUGUUUUGCAUGCAGAAAAGUCCCAGGUUCAAGCCCCAGUACAUCAAGA